UUGAUUGGAUUUAUAACCUUUUGUACUGGACAGAUACGGGACAUAACCAUAUACAAGUGUCACGACUUGAUGGAACAGACAGAAAAACAAUCAUUAAAAAUGACGGAAGUCUGGAACAACCAAGGGCUAUUGUAGUUGAUCCAAAUACUGGUUUAUUGUUUUUCACUGACUGGGGGAGCUCAUCGAGAAUAGAAAGAUGUGGAAUGGACGGACGAGAUAGACGGAUAAUUAUUAACUCGGAUAUAAAAUGGCCUAAUGGAUUGACAAUAGAUCAUAUUGGAAGAAGGUUAUAUUGGAUAGAUGGUUCCCUAAACCAAAUUAAAAGUACAAGGUUUGAUGGAACAGAUACAUAUACCGUGAUCAAAAAUGAAAACGUUUUACCAAAACCAUUUGAUUUGGUUGUGUAUGGAAGUUAUGUGUAUUGGUCUAAUUGGGAAUACAGAAGUAUAUGCAGAGUAAACAAAAA